rnacentral:rRNA from 1 species
AGGGGCUACACACGUCAUACAAUUGGGAAUGGUACAAAGGGUCGCCAACCCGCGAGGGGGAGCCAAUCCCAUAAAGCCAUUCGUAGUCCGGAUCGGCAGUCUGCAACUCGACUGCGUGAAGUCGGAAUCGCUAGUAAUCGUGGAUCAGAAUGUCACGGUGAAUACGUUCCCGGGUCUU